rnacentral:rRNA from 1 species
CGGUCCAGACUCCUACGGGAGGCAGCAGUGAGGAAUAUUGGUCAAUGGGCGGAAGCCUGAACCAGCCAAGUAGCGUGCAGGAUGACGGCCCUAUGGGUUGUAAACUGCUUUUGUAUGGGGAUAAAGUUAGGGACGUGUCCCUAUUUGCAGGUACCAUACGAAUAAGGACCGGCUAAUUCCGUGCCAGCAGCCGCGGUAAUACGGAAGGUCCAGGCGUUAUCCGGAUUUAUUGGGUUUAAAGGGAGCGUAGGCUGGAGAUUAAGUGUGUUGUGAAAUGUAGACGCUCAACGUCUGACUUGCAGCGCAUACUGGUUUCCUUGAGUACGCACAACGUUGGCGGAAUUCGUCGUGUAGCGGUGAAAUGCUUAGAUAUGACGAAGAACUCCGAUUGCGAAGGCAGCUGACGGGAGCGCAACUGACGCUUAAGCUCGAAGGUGCGGGUAUCAAACAGGAUUAGAUACCCUGGUAGUCCGCACAGUAAACGAUGGAUGCCCGCUGUUGGUACCUGGUAUCAGCGGCUAAGCGAAAGCAUUAAGCAUCCCACCUGGGGAGUACGCCGGCAACGGUGAAACUCAAAGGAAUUGACGGGGGCCCGCACAAGCGGAGGAACAUGUGGUUUAAUUCGAUGAUACGCGAGGAACCUUACCCGGGCUUGAACCAAGAGUGACGAGUGCAGAGAUGCGCUUUUUCUUCGGACACUUUUGGAGGUGCUGCAUGGUUGUCGUCAGCUCGUGCCGUGAGGUGUCGGCUUAAGUGCCAUAACGAGCGCAACCCCUCUCUUCAGUUGCCAUCAGGUUAAGCUGGGCACUCUGGAGACACUGCCACCGUAAGGUGUGAGGAAGGUGGGGAUGACGUCAAAUCAGCACGGCCCUUACGUCCGGGGCUACACACGUGUUACAAUGGCCGGUACAGAGGGAUGGUGUAAUGCAAAUUGCAUCAAAUCUUGAAAGCCGGUCCCAGUUCGGACUGGGGUCUGCAACCCGACCCCACGAAGCUGGAUUCGCUAGUAAUCGCGCAUCAGCCAUGGCGCGGUGAAUACGUUCCCGGGCCUUGUACACACCGCCCGUCAAGCCAUGGGAGUCUGGAGUACCUAAAGUCCGUACCCGCGAGGGACGGCCUAGGGUAAUACAGGUGACUGGGGCUAAGUCGUAACAAGGUAGCCGUACCGGAAGGUGCGGCUG